GUUUAACAUGAUGGACUAUAGGACAGGACUGCUGCUUUUAACUGUCUGCUGGGCAGGUGUUGAUGGUCAGACUCUGACAGAAUCUGAACCAGUAGUUAAAAGGCCUGAAGAAUCCCACAGAUUGACCUGUACAGCCUCUGGAUUCACAUUCAGCAACCACGGGAUGAGCUGGGUCAGACAGGCACCUGGAAAAGGACUGGAGUGGAUUGCUUUUAUCUAUGGUGAUGCUGGCGGCAAAUACUACUCUCAGUCAGUUCAAGGCCGGUUUACCAUCUCCAGAGACAACAGCAGACAGCAGCUGUAUCUGCAGAUGAACAGUCUGAAGACUGAAGAUUCUGCUGUUUAUUAUUGUGCUCGAUAGUCACAGUGACUGGAGUUGGUGGAGCAGCUGUACAAAAUCCUACAGAUCUCAUCUUUCAGGCUGUUAGAGCCUAAGCAUGACUUUUUUUUCUUUGUAUUCAUAUUCUUAUUCUUAUUAUUUCUUUUGUGUUUAUUGUGUUACAUUCUAUAUUUUACAAUACACGUUUUGUGAAUACAGAAGUACACUUAUUGUAAGUCCUGAAGCAAGAGGAAUAUUUGCACUAAACCUUAAACACAUAACAAAACACACGAUAAAGAACCCUUGUUCAUAAAACUGCCAAAGACAGCACAACAAUCUGGUAGCUGAAGUCAAACAUCUGCAGAUACUAUUUCGAUACAUCUAGACACAAUGAGGUCUGUAAAUUAUGUGGAAUCUAGAAUGAAUCAACAGGAGAGUGAAAAAUAAUGUUGCAGUUUCUUUUAUAAAAUCACUAGAGGGCAGUCAGUGUCAAGUUUCUCUCUCCUCUGUUUCUAAAAAGAGACACUCAGAUCUGGUGUUCUCAUUGAUCUUAACUGACUGACACUUGAACCCUGGACUGAACUAAAGCUUAACACUCCUGCUUCUCAUGAACACUGGAUACUGUGAUAGUUGAUACUUUUCUACUCUAAACAAAAGACAUGUAUGAAAUUGAUUCAGCACAUUUUGAAUAUUUAAAUAUGGCAGCAUUUAACUUGAUUAAUUACUAUUAUCAAUAAAAUGUAUUUACUUGAAUAUAUUGUGUAUGAAUAUAAAUAUUUUAUAUAGGAAGAUUUUUCAUAUCUUAUAACAACCCAAACAAAAUUAUAAACCACACAGCAUGAUAUUUGAUUAAGACUGUUUUUAUUUUUGACACAAUCAGACACAGAUAAAGGUACAAUGUGGUGAUAAUAACAAGAACUUACAGCUUUAGUUUUUAUCUAACAUAAAAUAUAUUUUUCACAGAGGUUUCAGUUCCUGAGAAGCUGUUUUUAUCUAGUGGCUCC